UAACACGUGAGUAACCUGCCCCAAACUCUGGGAUAAGCACUGGAAACGGUGUCUAAUACCGGAUACGAGCUUCAGCCGCAUGGCUAGGAGUUGGAAAGAAUUUCGGUUUGGGAUGGACUCGCGGCCUAUCAGCUAGUUGGUGAGGUAAUGGCUCACCAAGGCGACGACGGGUAGCCGGCCUGAGAGGGUGACCGGCCACACUGGGACUGAGACACGGCCCAGACUCCUACGGGAGGCAGCAGUGGGGAAUAUUGC
rnacentral:rRNA from 1 species